UGUGUGUUGACCUUCAGGUGCUUCUUCCCUUGAGCGGGUGUGAGGAGGGAAAGGCUGCCUGAAAAGAGGUUUUUUCCUUCUAACUUCCCAAGUGAACCUGUAUAAACACCUUGCAGCUUGGCAGGAGUGGGUCGUCUAAGAAAGCAGUUUUACCUCAUCUACUGGUGGAGGGAAGGGGAAUGCCUCCUGUUAAAAUGUGCUGUGUUUUUUUGCAGUACUUGGCUUCUGUGCUAUGUUGGCAAUAAACACACCUUGGCGUGCUAAAGGGAAGAUCUGUGUUUUUUAGCUGCUUGGGUGAUUACAGGCUCAUUUGAAUGCCUGUCAUGAUAUUUGCUAACUGCUACUUUCAUUUCCUAAUGGUUUAUCCAAUGGCCUAUCUAGUAUCAUUUCAUCAUCAGAACUGCUCCAGAUAGUAGGGGUUUUGCUCCCUUUGCAACAAAAACUGUAGACAUAGUAAGCGGUGAAAUGGACUGAUUCCAGCCUAAAGACCAUUUUUAGGAUUUUUUGUUUGUUUGUUUUGACCUUUUUCUGAGAAAUGGCCAUCAUAGGCUCUGGCCUGGUCCUGUGGCUGGUGGUGGUUGCGUUGAGUGCCUGUGGAAGCAGAACCACAGACCAGCCUGCUAUCUUUUCUAAGGAGCUUCUGUCUCUUGCUACCUGUCCUCUGAGUGUUCAGCCCUGCAGUCAGAGCUGCCUGUUCCCUCCCUCUUGGAUCUUGGUGGCUUCUCAUGGUAGUGUCUGCUGUCAGACAGCAGAUGCUCUUCUGGCAUCUCCUACCCAUCCCCUUGUCCUUGUGGUGUUCACAUGAAGGUGUGUGGAGCUAGAGAUGGACCAAAAAAAUGGACAGUUUAUUCACUGAAGUAGUGACACUGUUUAAAUUAGACACUUGUGUUUCUGGGCCAUGUUUGACAGUUUUAGCUCAUGCAAAAGAUGAUGAGGAAAAAGUGAGACUUACUUGUGUCCGUUCAGGCAAAGUAUCAUUUACUCACCCAGUUCUGUUCAGAAAUGUGAUUCAACCACUGGAAGCCAAGAAAAAGGAUUAAGCUGGUUUAAUGUUGGGUCAGGUCCCUGUGCUACCAGAUUCAGAAUUCAAAUUGCACUGGAGCUUGCUCCAAAGCUUGCUCUUAUUUCAGACAUGGUUUAUUAUCUGCCAGAAGGUGACAGGCUGUGUCAGGAUGGGAUGUCACAUGUAUGGAGAUUCAGGUUGGAGGGGGUGGCCAAGGUCCUGGUGCCAGUCCUUGUUAGCUCUCACCAGACUGACAUAUGCUUCCUCUGACAAGCUGUCAUUGCCUUCCUUCCUCCCCUGCUUUAGUGCUUCCACUCCCACCUCAGGAAGGCUGAAAAUAAAGUAACAGCCCUGCUUAAGUGUGCUGUUUUAAAGUCAUUAUCAGUAAUAGCAGGAAAUACUUGAUUGCUGCAGGAACAAAAAGAUCCCCGUGUAUUCAUUUAGACCCUCAGGCAUAAAAGUGCUUAAUUUAAACAGCCAAAGAUUUUGUGCAAUUAGUUUUUUGUGCAAUUAGUUUUUACAUUUCCUCAUCUUAUUUCAAAAGCAACUUUCUCCUUUAUCAAUAUUUCUCCUGUGAGUAGCUCAUGGUAGUGUAAUCUGUAGUGCUUGGCUGUGGAGCUGAUAACCCUUGCUGACUACUUACUUGUGGCUGUGUCUUUGGGGCCCCUUUGGCACUGAACUACAAACCCAAGGCCACAAACCCAGAUCCCCUCGAGUGGAGCUGAGCAUUCUGAUCUCUUCCCUUUCUUUUGUUUAUGCACACGGUGGGCUUUAUGUGGUGUGAGUUCUGCUGGGCUGUCAUGCUCAGAAUGAAGUCCAGAGAACUGCAGAGUUUAGAAAGGCCUUUUUGCCAAGCAAAUACAGCAUCCUCUGUGAAGAGUGAUUUUGUGUUUUGUUUUAGUUUUUUUCCUUUUCCUCUUUGAGCCUCAAUCCAAUUGAAAGUUGCCUUCCCUCAAGCAAAAUUAAUUUUAUCCUAGCAAAAUGAAAAGUAAAAAAUUGUUCCUGCCUUGCAAGUUGCCAAACCUUGCUUUCACUUGAGGGAAUGUUAGAAAAAUAAAUUGCUGAAAGUUUAGUAACAAAAUAUCCUUGAGGAAUAGCAAGAAAGAUGCUCUUCUCUCACUGAGCUAUAAAUUUGGUGAAUUUGACAGAAAUUUCCUUGAACUUCUGUUUCCACACUUUGCUCCUGUUUGUCAACUUUAGACCUAAAGGGUCAGAAAACCAGAAUGUUAGCAUUAAAACAUCUGAAACAGAAACAAAUGCAUGCUUAUUUAUUCUGGGCUCUUGUGCUGGUAGGGAUCUGGGUUCUCCCUUGCUACAGCCAGGAAGGAGAGAUGUUCUCAUGGUGGGGACCAGGGGCUAAGAUUUGGUGCUGACAUCUGGCCCUAAGGAGCUGAAGCUCGGGGAGCCAGGCACUGGUGCCCGAGUUGUGUCCAGACACUGGGUUUGGCUUUGUCCCAACAGCUGCCCCUCUGGCUGAGAGAAAUGUGCAGGGCAGCUGAGGGCUUUGGAGCCCUCCUUGCAGAGCCCGUGGCUUCCUUUGUUAGAAACCACGGCGGAUAUUUUUCCUUUUCUGUGCUGCGCUCUGGACUUGCUCAGAGCUUGGGGUUCGCCUUUUGGACUGGGCCUUUUUCCAGGACUGCUGGAUUGCAGGAUCUCUUAGCAAUAAGCAGUGGUCACAAGCAUUUUCUCUAGGAUUUUUCAGCCAUCCAAGGGGGCACAGCCCAAGUGUGGUUGAGUUGUGCUGCUGUGCAGGGAGCAAGUAGCUGACCAUGAUUGCUCUGAGGCAGGACCUGGUUUUACAGCAGGGCUGUACCUGGACAUCAUGCUGAAGGGGAAGCUCAGAACAACUGCUUUUGGCUGGGUACUUGAGAACUCUGAAUUGGUCACCAAAACCAUGCAGUUCCUUGUAAAACAGGGCCGUCUGGACAUACACAGGAGGCCAGUGGUGUACAUUUUGCUAAAUUUUUGCCAGUGUUCCCAUGUGGUUAUGUAUGCAACUCUAAGAGCCAGAGUUUCAGAGAGGAAAAUAAACAAAGCUUGUGAGAUUAAAAUCAAGAGGUGGCAGUGGUAUUACCCAGUUCAUCCUCUGUGUGAUUGCAUUAGUGAAACAAAAGAAGGAGAAAGCAAACUCCAGAUUCCAAAGCCAGCUUUGUCCCUACAGUGUGCAGACUGGAGAGGUGGUGAGCUCCAAAUUGCCUUCCCCAGAAAGCUGCUGUCAAUUUUUCAAGAAUACAUAUCUACCCAUGUACCAAACAGCUGUAAUUAAACUGCUUGUUCUGACAGAAAAGAACCUUGGCCAGCCUUCAGUGCCGCAGCACAGAUGGGAUGUGCACCUGUAGUGUGGGUAGAUCUCUCAGACUGAGACUUGUUUGCUUGAUUGUUGAUGCUUGUGAUGAUCCUGUUCCCAUUUUAAUUGUUGCUGGCUGUGCAGGGAGGGCUCACAGAGCUUUGGGGGAAGAUCAGUGUGUCACGCUGCACGGGGAGUGAGGAACACCAAAGGUUAAUUGCCUGUUGCUACCCAAGAAUCAUGUUUAUAGUCUUGAGAAAUAAUGCCAAGGGGGAAGGAAGAGAAAAAUAAUCCUUGUAGGUAAAAAAGAACAGAACCUGUAUGCUUGCUGCUGCCAAAGGCACAGGAGGAGGAUAUUUGAGAGUCUGUCAGAAGUGCAGCCCCCUCUGCAUGGUAGCUCUCCAGUGGUGGAGUGGGGAAGCCCUGUGUCCUUUUUUAUGAUUAUGUUUUCCCCACUGGAAUAAUUUUAAAAUACCCAGAAAUUUUCUUGGUUUUGGAUUUAUUUUGGCUUUUUUCCUCUGUUACUUUUUUGUUUGUCCUUUGUAUCUGGAGGAAUGAGGCUUGCUUCCUUGACCUUUUAGCAAGCUUGGGUUACUCCUUUGGUUAUUGUGUGUUGUGGAAAAGGCAGCAGAGAGGCUUGAAAUACUGAAAGCAGACCCUUGCUUCCAAAUCUUUAAAUACCUUUGCAUUUAAAAGGUGUUGAGCAACUAAGCAUGACUUCAGAUGUGAAUAAAAAUCACAUUGUAUCUCCCUGAAUUAGGUUUUACUUCUCUGACACUGAGGAUGCCAGGCUGCUGCUGUGCAUCACUCUGGUAAUCUGAGAAGUCUUCACUGUGGCCUGUGACCUAAAUUUCUAAGGAGGCAGCAAAAAAAAAGAAAUUGUCAAGUCAGACUUGCUCCUUUCUCUGGGAAGAAAACGCACUUGGAUUUUCACAUGCUGAGCAUGGAAAGCUGGAGGGUUUUGGCAGGCACCAGUGGAAGGUUUUGGGCUGACAACUGGGAAGAGUCAGUGUGGUCCCCUUGUUUGGUGGCUCUGGCUGCCUUGGGUCAUUGUUGAGGUGCAGAUGGCUGCUCAGAGCUGCAAUAACAUUGCAGUUAUUGUGUACCAGAUGUAGAUAUUCUAGACUGGCCAGAUAUCAGAAUAGUUUAUUCUUUUUUUUUUUCACACCUGAAUUAUUUGCCUGGUGUGAUAAAUGCAAAUUGUCCACUUAGCAUUUAAAAAUAUAUUGCUGCAUUUUUGUAAAAUGUCCUAAUUCUCCCCAGGAAGAUCUGUACUGCUGUAAAUUUUUGGUUGUUAAAAAUUUUAGACUUGCAGUACCAAGAAAUUUGGGAAUGAAGUAAUUUGCCUCGGUGCCUGUUGACCCCAGGCCAUAUAAAAUGUGUGACUUAUUUUUGUUGGGACAGUGUAUGAGAUUCCUGAUCAGAUCAUGUGAACAGCAGUGUCUUUCCUAAGCUAUUUUAAAGUUUCUCUAUGAUGUACAAGGGAGUAAGCUUGAUAAUUAAAGAAAUCAGAGCAAGUAGUUAUCAGCACAUGCUUUAAAUGUUGGUGUGUCUAUAGUAUUUCACAGAUCAAACAUGAAUGUGAAGCAGGGGCCUCAAGCAUUAACUUAAGUUUCAGGGCUGAAAGCUGAUGUAGCUCUAAGAUCCAGAAUAAACCUUCCUUAGAGUUCUGUUUUAAAAUCGGUAUUUUUGAGCUAUUACUGCAAAGGACAAAAAAUAACAUCUGGCCCCAUGCUGCAAACUGGAUUUUUGUUGCUUGCUUUUUGGUUCUUGCCAGUAGUUAGUAGUUAAAAAUCAAAGGUCCAGAUAGUCCAUGAGUGUAAAUUAUUACUGGCUUCAUUGACUUCAUUGCAUUUACAUGAGAUUUAAAUGACCAAGAAUCAAAUAAAACAUCCCAAGUCAGGUUUUGAUACAGUUAGGAUGGAGUUUUUAUCAUCUGCAAUCUGCAUUUUAAGCAGUGCUUAAUGGUAUAGUUUUUAUAUACAGACACGUGUAAAUUCACUUAUGCAUGCACAGAAUAAUAGUUUCAUAUAUUAAUGCUGAAGCAGUUUGAUUUAGUGUGCAGCAGUGGGUAAAAUAAAAAUAUUUAAUUAAAAUGCCCUUCUUUUGGGCACUGCAUUAAAAAGAAUUCCCAGAUUAGAUACUGGUUGCCCAUAUGUGCAGCUCCUUUUUAAUUUCCCUUCUGCUCCUGUUAGAAAAUCGAGAGGUGAGUGAUUUUUCUUUCCCAAAGAGACCAAGAUGUCUAGUGCUGGCAGAGGGGUGGAGAACUCCCACUUUAGCCAAGGCUCUUCAGGGGCUCUCCCAUUGGGAUCAACUGUGGUGGGUGUGAUGAAACCACACAGAAAAAGGGAUCACCCCUCCAAUCCAGAACUGUCCAUGACAGCAGGGCAUGCUCCAGACAGAUGGUGAGAGUAACAGAACAGGAUGCCAGCUGCUUGGAGUGUUUAAACCAGGCAGAUGCCCCAUGGUCAUCAGCAUGGAGAGCUGCUCAACACUCUGUGUAUGCUCGUCCAGAGAUACUGGGUGGUUUUCCAAUUUGGUUUCAUUUCCAUCCUGAAUGUCAGGAUUUUAGGAUAUGGUCAGAUACCCUAGAAUUUCAGGAUAGGGUCAAAUAUCUUUUAAAAUGCUUAUGCUGGUGC